rnacentral:rRNA from 1 species
AUUGAACGCUGGCGGCAUGCCUUACACAUGCAAGUCGAACGGUAACAGGUCUUCGGAUGCUGACGAGUGGCGAACGGGUGAGUAAUACAUCGGAACGUGCCCGAUCGUGGGGGAUAACGAAGCGAAAGCUUUGCUAAUACCGCAUAAGAUCUACGGAUGACAGCAGGGGACCGCAAGGCCUUGCGCGAACGGAGCGGCCGAUGGCAGAUUAGGUAGUUGGUGGGAUAAAAGCUUACCAAGCCGACGAUCUGUAGCUGGUCUGAGAGGACGACCAGCCACACUGGGACUGAGACACGGCCCAGACUCCUACGGGAGGCAGCAGUGGGGAAUUUUGGACAAUGGGCGAAAGCCUGAUCCAGCCAUGCCGCGUGCAGGAUGAAGGCCUUCGGGUUGUAAACUGCUUUUGUACGGAACGAAAAGACUCUGGUUAAUACCUGGGGUCCAUGACGGUACCGGAAGAAUAAGCACCGGCUAACUACGUG